GGGGCUGGCAUGGCAACCCUCAGCCCGGGUACAAAAAGCAAUAACAAGGAUUAAAAAAUUAGCGAGGAGACGUGCCUUAGUCUGAGUAAAUGAUAUGUAUAUCUUUCCCGCUUUUACCUUCACUCUCACGUUAUAUUUUCUAUUAAAUGUCUAUGCCUGACUCAAGCUAAUUAUACUCUACAAUUGACGGGGUAGACCUGUUUUCAUUCCUACUCUAAAUAC